GUAUUACAUGUAUUAAUAAUAAUUGAGUAAUACUAAUAAUGGUGUUGAUUAUUAAGCCAAAACAGUAUUUUAAUUUUUUUACAUAAUAAUUUAUACAUUAAGCAGAAAUAAAAAUAUUAAAAUUAAUUGAGCGUUUAUUAAUAUUUAUUAUACCAAUAAAAUUUAACAAAAAUUAAAGUUUACUUCAGAUAGCUUGGAUCUCGAACAUCAAACAACUGAUGUUGGUAAGAUUUUUAUUAUUUUAUUUUAUCUUUAAAGCAUAGAGAGAUAUGUUGCAUAAUCUUGUUUGUUAACUAGGGCUCUUGCUUUCGAAACCUAGUACUUCUGAAGAAAGAUUAACACAAGAAGCAGUGCAGGGUAAGUGUUUCGCUAAUCAAUAUUUACUUUACCUUACUAUGGCACACGAUAUAAUGUUGUGCCAUAUCUUUUAAUUUUUUUAAAUAAAUGUUAACAAUUACCAGAACUGUAUUAAGAAGUUAUUAUCAAUAAAAUGUACAUAACAUAAUAGAAUCUGUAAUUCCUAGUAUUUUACAGGUACAACAAUUUGAAUCAAAUAUGAUGAUAUUUGACAUUUAUAUCGAAGAUUUAAUUAAGAGAAAUGGCACUGCAAACUAACUUUAAGUUUUGUACCCAUAUAUUGCUGAUGCUAAUGAUUCCUAAUUAAUUUUAAAAUGGUAUUUAAUUAUCGAUAGAUAGCGCAUUUUAUGUUUAUAAAUGUGAAAAAAAAAAAAAAACAAUUUUCGUUUCACCGAACUAUGGUUAUCCUACAAUAUAUGUAUCAUUAAUAUAUUAUAAAGAACUAUUUGAAUAUGGGUACAAAAUGGUUUUUAUGCGUAUUUUUACAUAUAACUUCUAUUUAUUUUAAAUUAUUCGGAAUUGGGUGAUAAAAUUAUGCAGACUAGAAAUAUAGAAGAAAGGGGAUUAUAAUUAUAUUAUAUACUUAAUUUGAAAGAAAGUUGCGUGAACUUCUUAUGACGUAGAGUGUAAAAAUUUAAUAGAAUGUAGAUACAGUUUUCUAUUAUCGUUACACAUAAAAAAAUUUGUUAACAAAACACUGAUAAAGUUAAAUUCAUUAAUAGUGGUUGCAGCAAACCAUUUCUGAGAAAAUUAAAUGUGAACUUAAAAUAUAUACAUGUGUAUACUUAUGUACCUAGCUAUAUACAUACGCGUAUAUGUAUUUCUCAUGUGUCAUUCCAUUAGUCAUGAUUUAAGAAUGCUUUAUUAAAACAUAAAGAAUACAUAUCUUUAUUUUAUAUCGAUUAAAGAAAUUUUAUCAAUUAAGAGAAAAAUGAAAUAUGAUAAUUAUUAAUGUUAUGGAAUAUGAUAAAAUAUUCUGAAAAAUUUCAAUUUUUAAGAACUUUUAGAUUUAACGAAAGUAAUUUUUAUUUUUGUAUCGUGAAAUAAAACGUAAAAUGGAAAGCAUCUUAUUACACUCAUUGGGUAUAAUGUUUAACAGCGUAAAAGUUAUUCCUGACAGUGUUGCAAUGUAUUGCAAUUUCUAUAAUGUCAAAGAUUUAUGUUCCAUAUAUACAUUUAUUAAUUAUUCUCUGUUUCUUUCAUACGAAUUUCAUAGUCUACAGCCUACUUUAUUUAUUAUGUAUGUAACUUAAAAUCAUUGGAAUAAUGAUUUUUGCAUUAACAUUAAUGUACGCGUUCAAUAAUAUGUGAAGAGAUUUAGCAACAUUGGAGAAUAUCUGCACCGGAAGUGACGUUUACAAAAUGACGCACGCGAUUGGCUAGAAAUUGGCCGCAGUACAUCUUCGUCCGCCAUUGAUUAUUUCCUGUAAACGAAGAAUUUUAAUAAAAUGUGCAAAAUAUAUAAAAUUUAGUAUUAAAAUUGUCGCAAAUAUAUUUAAAAAUUAAAUGGAUUGAAGUAUUUUUCAAAAAUUCUAAGAAUGUAAGACUAAUGUAAGAUUUUACAAGGAACUAUUUUCUAUUGGUCGCGCGUAAGACCACUCCCUAAAGGCAAGGGUGGGGGUAUACGACGCGGUCAUUAGACGCGCAGCGUAGCCAUUUUCUUAGUAACUUGCAAACGGAGCGGAGUGUGUGUUGUUCGCUAGUUUCAAAUAUUUUGUGUGUAGUUGUGUGAAUCUCUUCUAUUUUGUUCUACAACAAACAGGAGCCAGAUACAGUCUCGACCGUUUGAGAUGGCAUUGGGACGGGAGGAGGGAGUUGGUGUUCGCAACGAUGCUGAAGCGUUACCGCACGAUCGGGGGGACCCGAUGUUCUCCAGUGUCUACGCCUUUCAUUGGUUUG